GACGAACGCUGGCGGCGUGCUUAACACAUGCAAGUCGAACGGAAAGGCCCUGCUUUUGUGGGGUGCUCGAGUGGCGAACGGGUGAGUAACACGUGAGUAACCUGCCCUUGACUUUGGGAUAACUUCAGGAAACUGGGGCUAAUACCGGAUAGGAGGUCCUGCUGCAUGGUGGGGGUUGGAAAGUUUCGGCGGUUGGGGAUGGACUCGCGGCUUAUCAGCUUGUUGGUGGGGUAGUGGCUUACCAAGGCUUUGACGGGUAGCCGGCCUGAGAGGGUGACCGGCCACAUUGGGACUGAGAUACGGCCCAGACUCCUACGGGAGGCAGCAGUGGGGAAUAUUGCACAAUGGGCGGAAGCCUGAUGCAGCAACGCCGCGUGCGGGAUGACAGCCUUCGGGUUGUAAACCGCUUUCGCCUGUGACGAAGCGUGAGUGACGGUAAUGGGUAAAGAAGCACCGGCUAACUACGUG
rnacentral:rRNA from 1 species